GACGAACGCUGGCGGCGUGCUUAACACAUGCAAGUCGAGCGAUGAAGUUUCUUCGGAAAUGGAUUAGCGGCGAACGGGUGAGGAACACGUGAAGAAUCUGCCCUCCACUUUGGGAUAACACCGGGAAACCGGUGCUAAUACCGAAUAUUGAAACAUAAGUGGCAUCACUGAGUUUUGAAAGAAUUUCGGUGGAGGAUGACUUCGCGGCCUAUCAGCUAGUUGGUGAGGUAAUGGCUCACCAAGGCAACGACGGGUAGCCGGCCUGAGAGGGCGACCGGCCACACUGGGACUGAGACACGGCCCAGACUCCUACGGGAGGCAGCAGUGGGGAAUAUUGGGCAAUGGAGGAAACUCUGACCCAGCGACGCCGCGUGCGGGAUGAAGGCCUUCGGGUUGUAAACCGCUUUCAGUAGGGAAGAAGCGAAAGUGACGGUACCUACAAAAGAAGCACCAGCUAACUAUGUGCCAGCAGCCGCGGUAAUACAUAGGGUGCAAGCGUUGUCCGGAAUUAUUGGGCGUAAAGAGCUCGUAGGUCGUUUGUUACGUCGGAUGUGAAAACCUGAGGCUCAACCUCAGGCCUGCAUUCGAUACGGGCAAACUAGAGUUUGGUAGGGGAGACUGGAAUUCCUGGUGUAGCGGUGGAAUGCGCAGAUAUCAGGAGGAACACCAAUGGCGAAGGCAGGUCUCUGGGCCAAUACUGACACUGAGGAGCGAAAGUCUGGGGAGCGAACAGGAUUAGAUACCCUGGUAGUCCAGACCGUAAACGGUGGGCACUAGUUGUGGGAACCUUCCACGGUUUCUGCGACGCAGCUAACGCAUUAAGUGCCCCGCCUGGGGAGUACG
rnacentral:rRNA from 1 species